UGGGGCAUCUCUUUGCUUUGGUAUC
rnacentral:piRNA from 1 species